UAUAAAAAAAAAAUUAUUAGAAUAUUAUUUGUUGAUCUAAAUUAAUUUUAAAAGUAUUGGCGGUAUUAAGUUAAAUUCUGAGGAACUUGUUUAUUUAAAUUGAUAAUACACAUUAAAUUUCACUUAAAAUAUUUUUUAUGUAUUGCUGUUUUAUUAAUUAUUUAUUAAAAUUAAUUAAUAAAAUUUACAAAAAUUUUGUAAAGAAAUUCAAGUCAAAAUGUAGAUUUUUUUAAGGAUAAAUGAGUUACAAUUAUAUUAAAAUAUGAAACUGUAAAGUUAAUUGAAAUUAUUAAUGAAUAAGGUUGGAUUAGGGUGUAAAAAAAGAAUAAUAAAUUUUUUUGAUAAAAUUUACUUUUAUGU
rnacentral:rRNA from 1 species